rnacentral:rRNA from 1 species
CCUACGGGGGGCUGCAGUGGGGAAUAUUGGACAAUGGGGGCAACCCUGAUCCAGCCAUGCCGCGUGUGUGAAGAAGGCCCUCGGGUUGUAAAGCACUUUCAGUGAGGAAGAACGCCUGGUGGUUAAUACCCAUCAGGAAAGACAUCACUCACAGAAGAAGCACCGGCUAACUCCGUGCCAGCAGCCGCGGUAAUACGGAGGGUGCGAGCGUUAAUCGGAAUUACUGGGCGUAAAGCGCGCGUAGGUGGCUUGAUAAGCCGGUUGUGUAAGCCCCGGGCUCAACCUGGGAACGGCAUCCGGAACUGUCAAGCUAGAGUGCAGGAGAGGAAGGUAGAAUUCCCGGUGUAGCGGUGAAAUGCGUAGAGAUCGGGAGGAAUACCAGUGGCGAAGGCGGCCUUCUGGACUGACACUGACACUGAGGUGCGAAAGCGUGGGUAGCAAACAGGAUUAGAUACCCCUGUAGUC